GACGAACGCUGGCGGCGUGCUUAACACAUGCAAGUCGAACGGAAAGGCCCUGCUUUUGUGGGGUGCUCGAGUGGCGAACGGGGGAGUAACACGUGAGUAACCUGCCCUUGACUUUGGGAUAACUUCAGGAAACUGGGGCUAAUACCGGAUAGGAGCUCCUGCUGCAUGGUGGGGGUUGGAAAGUUCCGGCGGUUGGGGAUGGACUCGCGGCUUAUCAGCUGGUUGGUGGGGUAGUGGCUUACCAAGGCUUUGACGGGUAGCCGGCCUGAGAGGGUGACCGGCCACAAUGGGACUGCGGUACGGAGCAGACUCCUACGGGAGGCAGCAGUCGAGAAUCUUGCGGAAUGGGGCGAAGCCUGAUGCAGAAACGCCGCGUGCGUGAUGCCGGCCUACGGGUUGUAAACAAAUUUCGCCGGUGCUGAACAGUGAGUGACGGUAAUGGGUAAAGAAGCCACGGCUAACUACGUG
rnacentral:rRNA from 1 species